GAUGAAGUGCCUGAAAAAAGGGCUACUUUGAUAGAGUAGACCAUGUGUUUCCCUCACCUUCAUCA
rnacentral:tRNA from 1 species